rnacentral:rRNA from 1 species
UACGUAGGGAGCAAGCGUUGUCCGGAAUCUUUGGGCGUAAAGCGCGCGUAGGUGGCCUCAUAAGUCCGCUGUGAAAGUCAAAGGCUCAACCUUUGAAAGCCGGUGGAUACUGUGGGGCUAGAGUACGGGAGAGGCGAGUGGAAUUCCUGGUGUAGCGGUGGAAUGCGCAGAUAUCAGGAGGAACACCAAUAGCGAAGGCAGCUCGCUGGGACGUUACUGACACUGAGGCGCGAAAGCGUGGGGAGCGAACAGG